rnacentral:rRNA from 1 species
UACGUAGGCAGCGAGCGUUGUUCGGAAUUACUGGGCGUAAAGAGUGUGUAGGCGGUGUUCCCCAGUCUGUUGUGAAAUCUCCCCGGGCUUAACUGGGAGGGUGCAGCGGAAACUAGAAUGCUAGAGGGUGGGAGAGGUAAGCGGAAUCCUGGUGUAGCGGUGAAAUGCGUAGAUAUCAGGAGGAACACCUGUGGUGUAGAC